AGUGAACGCUGGCGGUAGGCCUAACACAUGCAAGUCGAACGGCAGCACAGUAAGAGCUUGCUCUUACGGGUGGCGAGUGGCGGACGGGUGAGGAAUACAUCGGAAUCUACUUUUUCGUGGGGGAUAACGUAGGGAAACUUACGCUAAUACCGCAUACGACCUACGGGUGAAAGCAGGGGAUCUUCGGACCUUGCGCGAUUGAAUGAGCCGAUGUCGGAUUAGCUAGUUGGCGGGGUAAAGGCCCACCAAGGCGACGAUCCGUAGCUGGUCUGAGAGGAUAAUCAGCCACACUGGAACUGAGACACGGUCCAGACUCCUACGGGAGGCAGCAGUGGGGAAUAUUGGACAAUGGGCGCAAGCCUGAUCCAACCAUACCGCGUGGGUGAAGAAGGCCUUCGGGUUGUAAAGCCCUUUUGUUGGGAAAGAAAAGCAGCAGGUUAAUACCCCGCUGUUCUGACGGUACCCAAAGAAUAAGCACCGGCUAACUUCGUG
rnacentral:rRNA from 1 species